rnacentral:lncRNA from 1 species
AUGAAGUUAUUAAGGAGUAAUAUUUUGUCAAAAUUUUUGGAGUUCAUUGUAAAGCCAAUGUGUUGGCUUAAUUCACAAUUUAACAUGAAAUUCUUCCUCAAAGAGAUGUUUUAUUUUAUUUUAUUUGAUGGAGUCUCACUCUGUCGCCCAAGCUGGACUUCAGUGGUGCUAUCUCAGCUCAAUGUAACCUCCACCUCCCAGGAGAAUGGCGUAAACCCGGGAGGCGGAGCUUGCAGUGAGCUGAGAUCUGGCCACUGCACUCCAGCCUGGAUGACAGAACCAGACUCCGUCUCGGGGAAAAAAAAAAAAAAAGAGAAAUAGGAGUGGUCAUGGGGUAGAGUGAAAGGGAGGCCAAUUUUCUAAUGAGAGGGUUUGGUUUGUAUUUUGACUCUGCAACUUAGUGUUCUGACCAUGUUUUAUCAUUUAUAAAAUAUACCUACAUCAUUUAUCAUUUAUAAAAUAUGCCUAUAAAAUAUGCCAUCCACGAGGUAUGAAAAUAAAGGUAAAAUAUGUAGCACAGUGUGUGUUUUGUGUGUGACACAUGAAUAGUUAAUUAUACUUUUAAAAUCCUGUAUUGUUGAUUAAACUCUCAAAUAUGUAGAACUUAUCAGUCAGUAGAGGCUAGAUUAUACCUAGAAACAAACAAUUCCCACAUUUUAGUGGUUUGUAGCAACGAAAGUUUACUUCUCACUUACUUUGUAUGUUCAUUAUGAAGUGUCUGGUAACUGCUUUGUCUUGUUCCCAUUCUGGAACCAGGCUGAUCCUGAUCAAGCAGCUGUUAUCAUUGGCCAUCAAGAUGGAAGGGCAAAAAAUGCUUUGGAGUAUCUGGAAUAACAUCUUGAAGGAACUAUAAUCCUACCAUGUACCUGGAAGGCAGAAAGCUAGAAUUAUGUGUCAAACAGAGCUAAGGCUACCAAAGUAACACGUUUAUCCUUUAUUGUUCCCUGAUCUCUUUAUGAAGGAAGGGCCAUGAAGUUGUUAGACAAGUUUCUGAAUAAGUGCUAGGAAGCUUCUUUAGAGCACUGUACUCUUCUGUGAUCCAUUGUCAUCUGGUUCAA